AUACCAAUUUUCCAGUACAGUGCCAAAGUACGUGAUGAUGUGCGAAGAGCAUACCUCCUGAGAGGCCCGUUCCAACCAACAGGACAUGCUUUCCUUCAAACAGAUUUCAGUGGAGUUCAACGUCGUUUUAAUGAAGAGUGGUUCAAGGAUCACAAGUCUUGGUUGGAGUACAGUACAAAGGAAAAUGCAGCAUUUUGUCUUUGUUGCUAUUUGUUUCAGAAUGAAAGUCUAGGCCAUGGUGGUGGAGAUGUAUUUUCAACAAAGGGGUGGAAAAGUUGGAAUAAUGUAAAGAGAUUGGAUAUUCAUGUUGGGGGUCCUUCAAGUACUCAUAAUCAGAACAUGAAGAGAUGUGAUGAUCUAAUGAACCAGAAGCAAUCCAUUGGAGCUGUCUUACACAAGGGAACAAAGAAAUCCAAUAUAGAUGAUGUGGCUGCUGUUGCUUUGAAGAAUGCUCCUCAGAAUUUAAAGUUGGUUUCUUCGACUAUCCAGAAACAUAUUGUGAAAGCUUGUGCGAUAGAAACAGUGAAAGCAAUCAUAGAAGAUCUGGGAGAUGAAUACUUUGCUAUAUUGGUUGAUGUAGAUAUGCUUAGAGAGAAACAAGCAAAAAGAGUCCAGACGGCACUGCAGAAUGGAGAACUGGAAACUGGUAGAGGUUUGAAUCAAGAACUUGGACUUAAACGAGCUGGGGAUACUCGUUGGGGUUCUCAUUUCAGCUCUCUCUUGAAUAUGAUUGUUAUGUUCCCCUCGGUAAUUGAAGUUGUAGAUGAUAAUGCACAAAACGCCAGCAAAGCUCUCGAUAGGAUUAAAGCAAAGGGUGUUCUGGACGCUAUUCAAACAUUUGACUUUGUUUUCAUAAUGCACUUGAUGAAGGCUGACAUUGUGAAUGCCGUGUCGUAUCUUCACACAACCAAAAGAAGGCUACAGGAAAUGAGAAACCAAGGUUGGGAAGGUAUGAUUAAAAAGGUUACUGAUUUUUGCAUUGAACAAGAUAUUGAACUUUCUGAUAUGGAUGCUAUGCAUAUUCCCCGAGGAUCGAAAUCAAAGCGUAAGGUUCAGACUGAUGGCAUAUCAAAUAAGAAUUACUACCAAAGUGUGAUGUACGCCAUUAUUGAUAUGUUACGUGUAGAGAUUGAUGACCGCUUUAGUGAAAGCAGCACAACCUUGCUUCUUGGGAUGGCUUCUUUGGAUCCUUCUGAUUUGUUUGCU
rnacentral:rRNA from 1 species